rnacentral:rRNA from 1 species
UACAGAGGGUGCGAGCGUUGUCCGGAAUCACUGGGCGUAAAGGGCGCGUAGGCGGCGCGGUAAGCGUGCGGUGAAAGCCCGGGGCUCAACCCCGGGUCGGCCGUGCGGACUGCCGGGCUGGAGCACUGUAGAGGCAGGUGGAAUUCCGGGUGUAGCGGUGGAAUGCGUAGAGAUCCGGAAGAACACCGGUGGCGAAGGCGGCAUCCUGGACAGGGAUUGACGCUGAGGCGCGAAAGCCAGGGGAGCAAACGGG